GCUGUUGCUGGGUAAUGUCAACCUUUGCUAAAACAAACGUGGUACUGAACGAGAACGGUUUUUCCUUCAAACGCGCUAGCCUAAUAUAUUUGCGGUUGUGAUUUUUUUUUUUUUGGCAAAAAGAAAAAAAAAACAGAAAAAAUUGUUAUAAAUUCUAUAAUUUGUGUGCAAAAGAAAUUAAUCAUUAAAGUGAAAUAGAAAAAAGAAAGAAAUUAAUUAUAAUCAGAAAAAAAGAAAGAAAAAUAUUUAAAAAAUUCGUGCGGUUUUCUUCCAAACAAAAUUUUUGGUGACAUUGAAAAUUGUUUUUCGACCAAAAAUGUAUUAGAUGAUUAAGAGCAAAAAUGUAAAUGAAAAAAAGUAAUAAAUUUUAUAAUAAGAAAAAAAUUUUGUUAAAGAAAUAUAAAUUUAAAUUUAAAAAGUGUUUUAAGUUGCAACAAAUAAAAAUAAAUCUUAAUUAAAAAUUUAAAUUUGUGGCUGACAAUUUUCCAAGAGCAAAAAAAGGAAAAAAUCAUUGAAAGAAAACGAAAAAAAGAACGGAAAUAAAAAUUGUAUUACUAAAGAGAUUUAAAGUUACGCCAUUUUCUUGUAUUUGUACUUUUUACUGCUGCUUCUUUUACAUCUUGUUCUUCUGCUAUUUUGUGUGUCUAUGUGCUGAGGAGAAUUUCAGUGAAACCUCCAACUUUCACAAUAAAUAUAUUAAAAGAAAGUCAAAUAAACAAAUAAAUAGUAAGAAGAUAUAAAGCAAUUAAGAGAAAACUACAUAAAAAUAAGAAAAUUUUUAAUUAAAAAACCUUUAAAAGUGAAAAAUUAAAGAAAUCUGUGUGUGUAUUUAAAAUGUGUUAAAUGAAUAAAUAAAAGUGCAUGCUUUAACAUGUACAACUAUUUACAACAACAACAGUUGUUUAUAGCCAAAACGAAGCCGAAAACAUCGAAAAGCAAUAAUAACAACUAGAUCAUCAAGAACAACAAAAACAUCAACCUCAUCGCCAAUAACAACAACAUCAUCAUCGUCAUUCUGCUGUUAAUUGUAUAACUGUGUUUGUGUUAUAUUUAAUGUGUGUAUGUGUUUGUUUUUUCCUGUCAAUGACUGACUACCAGAGGUGGUCAAUGUGGUGUGUUUAAAUAUUUCAAAUUGUACUCUUCACAUACAAAACAAAUAUAAACAACACACACACAGGCAUACAUACAUACAUAUGUUUAUAUACAGUUAGUUUGUAUUUAAAUGUUUAAAUGCCUGCAUUCGGUUUACAUUUGUUUGUUUUUUUAUCUCUAGACGUAACGGUUAUCGUGAUUGAGUAAGCCAACGAUUGAGUGUGUAUGUGUUUGUGCACGUAAAAGCCUUUAAAGUGUAUGCGUGCGUUAACAUGCGGUUUCCGUUUAAAUAAAAUUCAAUUUAAAUUUUCUACUCGACAGAAAUAAGAAAACUAAAAUUUUCUUUAUAAUUUAACUUAAACAUUCAUAACUUGUUUCUUUAACCCACAAACACAAACUGCCUGCCUGUCUACCAAUCACUCAGACUAUUUGCUAUAAAAAAA